AAGAUUAUAAAAUAGAGCUGCUAACUCUAUAAUAAUGUCAACAUUUAAUCUUU
rnacentral:tRNA from 1 species